AUUUCUUAUGAUCUUCCCUCAGCUCUCACAACCAGCGGACUCAUCUGGGCGAGGUACAGCUCGGUAAUAACCCCGAAGAACUGGAACCUCUUCAGUGUCAGCAUCGGGAUGGCUUCGGUCUCUGCGUACCAACUUGUGCGCAAACUUGAGCACGACUUCUCGUCCAAGCACAAAGCAGCUGCGAUAGAAUAGUCCAUCCAUCUCUACUAAAACAUCGGGAGUUUCGGGACUUCCAUUCGAUCUCUCCCCCUACAUAGUUCAGAGGCUUACCGUGCUUUGGAAUAACCAAGUGGUUUUCACCUUGCUCUCAGAAAUAUGACCGCAUG